rnacentral:rRNA from 1 species
UACGAAGGGGGCUAGCGUUGUUCGGAAUCACUGGGCGUAAAGCGUACGUAGGCGGACCAUUAAGUCGGGGGUGAAAUCCCAGGGCUCAACCCUGGAACUGCCUUCGAUACUGGUGGUCUGGAGUCCGGGAGAGGUGAGUGGAACUCCUAGUGUAGAGGUGAAAUUCGUAGAUAUUAGGAAGAACACCAGUGGCGAAGGCGGCUCACUGGCCCGGUACUGACGCUGAGGCACGAAAGCGUGGGGAGCAAACAGG